UUCCAUUCUUUUAAAGAAGGAUAACAAAAUAACUAUCUUCCUGCUGAAAUCAAGAAACUGAUGUCCGGAGGAUCCUAAGCUGUCCAGAACUCUGACUGAGUCCGCUGAUAAUUCCUGGACAUCACAGUUUCCAGUUUGUGGUUUCUCUGAAGUGCUGCUGUGAACAUUGCUGUUCACGUCUCCUGGUGCCCAUAUCUGCAAACAUUUCUCAAAAGCAGUGGUUCUUACACUUGGAUGUGCAUCAGAGUCACCUGAAAGGCUUGCUGAAACGCAGGUUGCUGGGCCCCAGCCCUAGAGUUUCUGGCUCAGUAGGUCUGGUGGCUGGAGACUGGCAUUUCUAACAAGUUCCCGUGAUACUGAUGCUGCUGGUCGAGGGACCAUCCCAGGAGCAGAAUUACUGCAUUGUAGGGUCUCAGAUGGAAUCUUCAGUGAUGAGGCCACGUCUGUCCUGGCUCGAUCAAGGAUUUUUGGUUGUAUUGCUUCCAUUAUGACCCAGAGCCCAUUCUCUUGAAUUCCUCCUCUGGUGGAGUCAUGGCUGCAGCCUGGAAAAGAAUCAAAUGCUAAAGUCAAAAGCAGGUAAAAUACUAAACUCAGAUGCUUUUGAAGGACAGAUGAAUUAACAUGAUAAAUAAAUGAAAAUGUCCUAUGUUACUCAGUAAUGCAGUCAGCUGUAUGUAAGAUUACUCAAAAACCACAUUACACAGCAAAUGCAAGAAGCCUGAAACACGGCAUGAGCAGCCGGACUGGAGACGGAGACAGGAGGGAUGAUGACUGCCAGGCAAUCUGCUCUGAAGAGACAGGGCCAUAUUCAGACAUCUGAUGAAAAAGGCCCACGGAGCUGUGCUGCUUUCUGUGUUUCUUCCAGCAACGACUCAAGUCUAUGUCUGGUAGCCCCAGCCCAGUAAGGAGCUGUUUUUCUCCAGAGAUGAUUUUCAUCUUCACUCUGGGAAACCUCAAAGGUAGAUAUCUUCACCAUUACAAGAACAGUUAUAUUUAUAAUUCAAGGAGAGUUGUGAAUACACUUUGCACUACAUAGGCUUUAGAGAUGGUAAAACUGAACUCCAUUCUAAUUUGAAAGUACCUGUAAGUAAACAUUUUUUCCUACAGCACAGCAUUGGCCAUUGCUAAUCAUGUCCCUGCCAGCUUCUAUAACAAUGGAUUUUGGACUCUUCUAAUUUUUAAAAUGUCGGUCCUAGAAUACAGUUAUCAUUUUAAUUCAACAUGUAGGAAAACAAAUGGAUUUUGAGGCUCAGAAGUCAUUGUUUCUUCAUUGUUCAAACCCAAUGCCCAGACUUACACUUGGGUGACAUCACUGUGAUCAGCCAUGUGUGGGAACUAAAACAGCCUCUUCCAGAGCAGAGGUCUGGAGAGAUCACGAUAGAGUCAGCAAUGGUUCUCACAUACCCUCUGAGCACUCACAAACAGCUUGUGAAUGAUCCUGCCAGCAUGUCCUCUUCCUGCACCGGUGACUAACACUUCAGGCUGCUCCAGCAGGCAACUCACAAACCUAGGACAGACAGACAGCCAAUGAAAGGGUGGAAAUGAGCUGUCCAGGCCACUUUGUGUCUAUCCAUCCUCCCACAGGAGUUUUGUGGACAAAUCCUCCCACUCAUACUGGCUAGACGCACCAAGGUUGAAGUGAAAUUUUAUAGCAAGAUAGACUGACAUUUGGAAUUAAUAUCCACUCAAUUGAAAAUCUUCCUGCUUUUUCACCUGUGUUCAUAAAAAUUUUUUCAGGCCUAUCUCUGUCAAAGUGUAAGAAAAAAUAUUCAGUCUAAUUUUUUUACACUAAAAGCUUAGAAAAUGCUACAGUUAAUAAAAGAUGAAAAGAAAUUUGGAUAACAUAAACUAAGUUAUAUUUAUCCAAUAAAAGCAAUGAUCCAUAUUUGUUUU